UCCGAGGUUUCUAGAGCGGACCCGGAAAUGACGCCAGGGGAUGCAAACCCUUCUUCCCCUUUUUGCUGCCCCUGAAGCUUACCGUUAGUGGUCAAGUUUUACUGGAAGCGGGCUUUCGCUAUCGCGGGGACCAACGCCCUGAGCUUUUGUGCCCAAACGGGAUCGCCAGGUUCUUUGAUGCGGAUCGAAAGGGGCCGGGCCUCGGAGCCUACAACCUGACCCAGGUGGGACUUGGAGAAAUGUCGAGAAACCUAGGUCUGGGACUUGAGUUGGCUUCCAGGGCACACAUUCUUGUUCAGAAGAAACACACUGCAAAAAUCGGGAGGUGACGGGCAGAUGAAGGCACCUAUGUGUCGGUGCUUCGCCUCCGGACUCCAAUGCAACCUACGGGCUUUUGGAAAGGAGGAAGUCGAUGACUCUGCAGGGACUCCUCUGGUCCAGGAGCAGAUGGCUUUUGUCUGGGCACUCCCCAGCAGAAAAGGUGCAUCGGGAAGCAGCCUGGCUUGUGGAUGGUAGUGAUGCUUCCUCAUGAGUGGUGCAGGAUGAAGAAACUGAACAGGGCCAUGAUCCUUAUCUGUAAUUUCCUGGCUGCCACUUUGCUUUGGUGCUCUUCCCUCAUCUCUUCCUGGGUAGAAAUAGAACUGCCUGGAGAUCCCAAUGUUCUUGUCAGCGCACUUUUCAUGGACUGCAGUGGUAAGACGAUGUAUUGGAUGCCCAAACACAAGUCAACCAACUUCAUACUGGGUGGAAUUUCUAUGAUUAGUGCCCUUCUCCUCUCAUUCUGCUUGAACUUUUUGUUGCUGACCUUCCCUCAGUUAUUCCCUGAGACCCAGAAACAGUAUAUUUUCUGUGCAUCCAUCUGCAUUGUCACAGGAGCCCUCUGCCUUUGCAAUUCCCAGUGCUGUGGAGCUGUCAGAGUUUUAACAUCUCAACCAAGCCACAUGGAUACUAUUUCCUCAGAAAAGACAAAAUUGAUUCAAGCAGAAGAGUGA
rnacentral:lncRNA from 1 species